UCUGACUCCUGCUUGCCUCUGGCCACCUGCAGGCCGAGGGGCCUCGCACCGCGGGGCGUAUAGAAGGUGGGAAGGUUGCAGAAUUAUCAGGGCGGAAGCUUGCAAGGAAGGAGUCGUGAUUGUCUCUUAGAAGGGCUGAUUCGCAGUCUGUAUUAUCUUCAUGCUUCUAGCAAGUUUACUAGCAAGUGUGUAUUAAAGGUUAAAGAAAGUAGCUUUCCAGCUAUUAGAGCUUGAGAUACAACGUGGAAAGGAGUCUAGAACCCCAGGGAGAUAAACUAGGCUCGACCUACUUUUCUCUAAACACAAACACAGUCCUUGCUGUUUGCUAAACUGAGCAAAUUUCAUCGACAGCUGUCUUCUAGGUCCGUAAAAUAUUUUCUUCUAUAAAGCAUAUUUUUAAUAGAAAACUUGUCCGAAGAUGCUAUUCUGCCUGUGAGAGAUGUCACAUUGCUGAACCGUGAAAUGUCAGACAACCUGAGAACAAAAUUUUAAUAUUUCCUUUUUAAUUACCUGGAUUGUGGUUUGCUAAAAGCUUUUAAAGAGAAGUGAACUUUUUUGGAGAAUAGACGUAAGGACUCUGUAUUUCACAGUUUUCUAUACCAUGAAUAUUAGAAUAACUGACAGAUGUCUUGCCAUUGAUAGUUGUAAAGACUUUUCAUAUGUACAAUGAUCCAUUAUUUCCUGACUACAAAACCCAGGGGUAUAUAGGUCAGAUUAUCUCCAUUAUUCAAAUGAGGAAUUGAAGCUCAGAAAGGUCAAGUGACUAGCGCAAGGUCACACAGCCAGUGAGGGCAAGUGCAAACCCAGCCAGCCUAACUCCUAAUCUUCUCUUUUAAUUCCAUUACAUAAUGACACCUCUCAUUUGCUUCAGAAAUCCCUGUUGUAAAGAUAGAUGCAACUAGCAUGAUCCGUGUUGUUAGGAAAGGCAUGUGAUUAAUUUUAAAUAGAUAUAGUAUUUAACACCACCAGAUGAGUCUCCCUCUGAAAAAGCACACAAAAACAAAACAAAACGCUGACAUAGUUUCCGCAAGUCACGAGGCAAUUAUGCUAAUUAGCAACAAGCCUCCAUCCCUAAGCAGAAUAGUUCUUGUGUGAAACAUAUCAUUUAAUCUUUAUAACCCUGAUGUGACCUAGAUGAUUUGGUCUAAACCCCACAAUCCUAUUGUGUGGCUUAGUUAUAUCUAUAAAUAUAGAACCUGUUUUACUUCAUUUUUGUGUCAGGUGGUUUGAAGGGGGGAAACAUACAAUGCUCUGCUAAGUAAUUAGAGCUACUUACGCAGGCAUUGGGGAAUCUGAAACUUAGCUUCUAAUUGUCUCCACAUAAAAACAGAAGUUAACUUCUAGGGACAUCUUCAGGGACUCCUCAAGGCAAAUAUUCAUGAAAUGGGGCCUAUUGGCUUUUCUUUUCAUCUUGGUUCUGGGCAUGUUGCCAUGUUCCUGAUCUCUGAACUCUGAUGCUGACCUGCUACAGACUCCAGGAGCAAUAUUAAGGAUAAAAUAAUAACUCACAUAACUUUGUGGCUCUUUAUUCUAAAAAAAAAAAAAAAAGUUGGCUCAAUUUUUUUUCCUCCAUAAGAAAAUGCAAAUUGCAACUGUAUUGAGAAACCAUUUUUUCACUUAUCAGAUUGUCAAAGAUUAGAAAGUUUGAUAAUCACAGUGUUGGUAAAAGUGUAGACUAGCAGUCACAAUGAAAAUGUAAAUGUAAAUUAUAAUGACCUCCCUAGGGGGAAGGUCAGGAUACCUAACAAUAUUGCAACUAUACGUAUAAGAGUUUAUCUUGGCCCUGCGUGGUGGCACGGUGACUCAUGCCUGCAAUCCCAGCACUUGGGGAGGCCGAGGCGGGCAGAUCACCUGAGGUCAGGAGUUGGAGACCAGCCUGGCCAACAUGGUGAAACCCUGUCUCAACUAAAAAUACAAAAAUUAGCCAGACAUGAUAGCAGGCGCCUGUAAUCCCAGCUACUUGGGAGGCUGAGGCAGGAGAAUCCCUUGAACCUGGAAAGCGAAGUUUGCAGUGAGCCGAGAUUGUGACACUGCACUCCAGCCUGGGCAACGCACCGCGACUCUGUCUCAAAAAAAAAAAAAGAGUUUAUCUUACAACACACAGGAGAAAUGAGUGAGCACAGACUAUUCCUAAACCACAUUGCAGUAUGCCAACAUUGUAAAUUAAUGCCUGAUUGGUUACCUAGAAGUAAGACAAUCUUACUUUUAGGCAUCUAGAACACUGAGAAAUCCAGGAUGGACACUUAACACUACCAAAGAUUGAUCUAUUUUGGGUAAGUAUACUUCUGAUCUCUUUUUGAGGACUGUAUUAGUCCAUUUUCACACUGCUAUAAAGAACUGCCUGAGGCUGGGUAAAUUAUAAAGGAAAGAGGUUUCAUUGACUCAGAGUUCUGCAUGGCUGGGGAGGCCUCAGGAAACUUAACAGUUAUGGCAGAAGGCAAGGGAGAAGCAGGUACCUUCUUUACAAGGCGGCAGAAGAGACAGAGAGGGCAGGGGAAACUGCCAUUUUUAAGCUAUCAGAUCUUGUCAGAACUCCGUCACUAUCACGAGAAGAGCAUGAGGGAAACUGCCCCCAUGACCCAAUCACCUCCCACCAUCCCCCGCUCAACACGUGGGGAUGACAAUUCAAGAUGGAAUUGUGUGGGGACACAGAGCCAAACCAUAUCAAGUACCUACAAAAUUAUGGUGACUCUUCACUAAUUUGCAAACUGAUUAUCUGCAAAUCUUAAAUAGGGAAUAAAACACAAAAAUAUCAUUAUCCCUCCAGAACUGAGGACGCAAAUUGGAUUUAGAAGACUUAGCUUUGACACCUAGAUAUGUUUUCAUUGAUUUGACCUAACUUGAUCUCAGUUUCUCUUUUAUAGAGUUAGUUCUUUAGAUCAGAGGUCCCCAACCCCAGGACUGCGGACUGCCACUGGUCUUUGGCCUGUCAGGCACCCGGCCACACAGCUGGAGUGUGAAAAAAAAGGAAAAAACUGAAAAUCUCAAGAGGAUUCCAGGAAAUCAAAACAAUGAAUUAUUGAAUCAAGAAUUUGAAAGAGAAAAUAGAUGCAUACUGAAAAAAGAAUUUUGUUUAGUGAGAUAGAUGUAAUAAUGAAGGCAUGUUGAUAACGGGGGAGCUAUGUAUAUAUGAGGGGAGGGAUAUAUUGGAAAUCUCUGUAUCUUCCUCUCAAUCUUGCUGUGAUCCUAAAACUGCUCUAAAAAAUAUUUUGAGAAGGAAUAAUGAUGUGGUAAACAUGUUCUGUUAUUUAAAAAGAGAGACUUUUCAUAGCCGCCUCCCUCCCCCUCUACACACACACAGAGUCCUGUCCGUCUUCAUUCCCUUACUCAAUAAUUUGUACAGACACAGCCACUGGGCUCCAGUAAUCCUAAAGUUUCUAGAAAAUCAAGCACAGAAAAAGGUUAAAACCCUGAGGGAAUAAAAGAAUUCCUUUGCAUCCAUUGCAUUUCUCAGGAAGUGAACUAACAAAUUCACUGCUUUUAAAUGAGGAAAUUUUCUCAGUGAAAUUGAUUCCAAACCUUCGUUAGGUCAACUGUUCCCAGAUUUCUUAGCUGAUGCCUGAUCUGACUAUUCCUUAUCUUUAGUACAGAAACCAAGGUGAAUGACCUUUAAAAAACAUAUUAGACUGUUGACGUGUCUUCUAUGUUGUACUCUAGGUAAAAACGAUAAACCAGGAAAAAGAAAGUAAAAUUCAACCUUAGGCUCAUGGAUCCAGAGUGGAUAAUUAUGAGUCUGUAGUAUCUACAUGCAUGUGAUGAGGUUCAAGGACAAUAACCAUAAAGCAAAGACUUAAAAGGUUUUAUCAUUAGAAUAAUUGUAAUUCACUUGAUCUCUCAAUGUAACAAUACUUCGGUCUACUGUCUCAAGCCAUUAUUAUGUCUUACACUCAGCAUAUUGGUUUGUCUACCAUUAAAUAUUUAUUUUCUACAGUGCUUUCUGGAAGGCAAACAAAGCAGCCACUCUGCUACUUUAUAUUGAUUCCUGAGUUGUCCUUCGGAAACGCUUUCAGGAAGUUUAAUAGGUUUGAAAGAUAUUUAGACCUGUGACUGGCAAAUAUACUUCCUUCUUUUUAUUUCAAUAAGAGAGUACUAGAACUUAGAUCUUUAUUGUUUAAUCUAGUCAGUGCUGUCAUUGUCAAUCAAGUUCUCAAAUGACACUUGUCCUGAGCUGUAACUGAUCUAUUCAGAAGAAUAUGAAAAUAGUAAAGACGGCAACUAUGCAUGUUUUUACCGGACACGAUUUUAAUUGCUUUAAAAUGAAGUUAUGCAACCAAUGAGGAAUGGAGCUUUUGGAGUGGCCUGAAGCUAAAGGUUUCAGGUGUAUUUUUGCUUUCUUUGAAGAAAGAACCAAAUCAUUUUAUUUAAUAAAAAGGCCAUUUAUCAAGAAUUUCUUAAAGCUGUUUUAAACCUGAGUUUGCAAUUUAUAGAAUAUGUUCAAGCAGCCUCAGUGCCCUUUUAAUUGGAUGGUUUUCACAGAUUUAUCCAAUUUGAGAUUUAUCCAGUGAGAAUUCCCUUUGUUCAAGUAUAUAUGUCUUCUCUUCCAUAAAGCAGAUUCAAAUGAAAGAGUGCAAUCUGAUAUAUCAGACAUGUCAGUUAUACAUUUGAUGUGGUAAAUUUAUAAGAGAGGCCAAUUAUUGUUAUGAAAAAAUACAAUGAAAUACAUGAUAGUCAUUUACUGUUUUUAUAACUAAUCUAAAAGUAUUUACUAAAAAGAAACUAUUUCUUUUCAUAUGUACUUUACUUUUUACUUUAACCCUUCAUAUGUCCUUUAAAUAAAGAGAAGAAAAAAAGUCAUUUAUAUUUAUCCACAUAUUUUCUAUUUCAGGUGGUCCUCAUUCAUUCUUGUAGAUCCAAGUUACCAUCUGUUAUUAUUUUCUUUGUCACCUGAAGAAUUUUCAGAACUAUUUCUUCCUAUAUGUAGCAUGUAUAGAUACUCUAAAAAGUCCAUUAUAUGAUGUAUAAAACAAAGCAUACAAUGUAGUCUCUGCCCUAAUUAUUUGUAAUUUAUAUAAAACCUUUUAUUUUUUA
rnacentral:lncRNA from 1 species